rnacentral:rRNA from 1 species
UACGUAGGGGGCAAGCGUUGUCCGGAAUCAUUGGGCGUAAAGCGCGUGUAGGCGGCCCGGCAAGUCCGCUGUGAAAGUCGGGGGCUCAACCCUCGAAUGCCGGUGGAUACUGUCGGGCUAGAGUGCGGGAGAGGCGAGUGGAAUUCCUGGUGUAGCGGUGAAAUGCGCAGAUAUCAGGAGGAACACCUGUGGCGAAAGCGGCGCACUGGACCGCAACUGACGCUGAGGCGCGAAAGCUAGGGGAGCAAACAGG